rnacentral:lncRNA from 1 species
UGGUUGGUUAAGAUCUCAGAUGCAAUUCCAUGGUUUCUCAGUUUCAAGGCGUUUUCAUUGACAUUGUAAUCCAGUGAGCACAAAGGCUUGAAGUUGAAAAAGCAUCCAGGGAGUGGGGAUUUAACAAGAAGCAUAAGUUGAGGUACUUCAGCAGCAUUGUUGGUAGCAGUAAGUAAACGUUGCAUGUACAUUGUAACAAAAGCAGGAUUGUCAACCAUGUUCUUCAACAGCUUAGAGACACUUCGAAGGACUGAGGUUGCGGGCAGUCUCAAAAUGAUGUCUAUAAGGAUGUUGAUGUCCAGAUCCAUCAGCUUAGCAUUGUUGUUGCUGCAGCGUCCUUUUAUCUUGGUCCCGCACAUCUCCAAUCCGGUUGGGAUUGGGUGCUUAUGUUGGACUAGGACUUGAGAUAUAACGGCAUCCUAAAAGAAACAAAGAUCGAACAUUACAACUAUAAUUUGGAAACGGUGGGUUGGGAUGACUAGCAAUAAACGAAAAUUAUGAUACAUAGGCAUAGCAAUCACCUUUCUUGUAUGCUCGUCGGACUCGCAAGUACACCCGCAAACAGGUCAUGUUUGCCGUGUUCAUGUCAUUUUUGUGCUAAACCGUUAUCUUAACAGAUAGCGUCCUGUUAAUCCAUUAAGCUAACAGAUUGAAGAAUUCAAAUUCUAGUUAAAAAAAAUACUAAAUGAUAUUCCUCUCUAAACUAUAUUAAGGGGAGGGGAAAGGGUUUAUACUCGAGACAGAGUGCAAUGAAAAGGAAGGUCAUAACCAUUAGGGCAAUCCAUCAUUUUCCGGAAGGGAGAGAUA